UUUUAUCAAGGAAGAAGAUCUGACGGUACUUGAUGAAUAAGCCACGGCUAAUUCCGUGCCAGCAGCCGCGGUAAUACGGGAGUGGCAAGCGUUAUCCGGAAUUAUUGGGCGUAAAGCGUCCGCAGGCGGUUUUACAAGUCUGUCGUUAAAGCGUGGAGCUCAACUCCAUUUCAGCGAUGGAAACUGUAAGACUCGAGUGUGGUAGGGGCAGAGGGAAUUCCCGGUGUAGCGGUGAAAUGCGUAGAUAUCGGGAAGAACACCAGUGGCGAAAGCGCUCUGCUGGGCCAUAACUGACGCUCAUGGACGAAAGCCAGGGGAGCGAAAGGGAUUAGAUACCCCUGUAGUCCUGGCCGUAAACGAUGAACACUAGGUGUCGGGGGAAUCGACCCCCUCGGUGUCGUAGCCAACGCGUUAAGUGUUCCGCCUGGGGAGUACGCACGCAAGUGUGAAACUCAAAGGAAUUGACGGGGGCCCGCACAAGCGGUGGAGUAUGUGGUUUAAUUCGAUGCAACGCGAAGAACCUUACCAGGGCUUGACAUCCUGCGAACCUCUGGGAAACCGGAGGGUGCCUUCGGGAGCGCAGAGACAGGUGGUGCAUGGCUGUCGUCAGCUCGUGUCGUGAGAUGUUGGGUUAAGUCCCGCAACGAGCGCAACCCACGUCUUUAGUUGCCAGCAUUUAGUUGGGCACUCUAGAGAGACCGCCGGUGACAAACCGGAGGAAGGUGUGGAUGACGUCAAGUCAUCAUGCCCCUUACGUCCUGGGCUACACACGUACUACAAUGCUACGGACAAAGGGCAGCAAACUCGCGAGAGCUAGCAAAUCCCAUAAACCGUGGCUCAGUUCAGAUCGUAGGCUGCAACUCGCCUACGUGAAGGAGGAAUCGCUAGUAAUCGCAGGUCAGCAUACUGCGGUGAAUACGUUCCCGGGCCUUGUACACACCGCCCGUCACACCAUGG
rnacentral:rRNA from 1 species